CCUACGGGUGGCAGCAGUGAGGAAUAUUGGUCAAUGGACGCAAGUCUGAACCAGCCAUGCCGCGUGCAGGAAGACGGCUCUAUGAGUUGUAAACUGCUUUUGUACGAGGGUAAACGCAGAUACGCGUAUCUGUCUGAAAAUAUCGUACGAAUAAGGAUCGGCUAACUCCGUGCCAGCAGCCGCGGUAAUACGGAGGAUUCAAGCGUUAUCCGGAUUUAUUGGGUUUUAAGGGUGCGUAGGCGGUCGGAUAAGUUAGAGGUGAAAACCCGAGGCUCAACUUCGGAGUUGCCUCUGAUACUGUGCGGCUAGAGAGUAGUUGAGGUAGGCGGAAUGUAUGGUGUAGCGGUGAGAUGCUUAGAGAUCAUACAGAACACCGAUUGCGAAGGCAGCUUACGAAGCUACUUCUGACGUGGAGGCACGAAAGCGUGGGGAGCAAACAGGAUUAGAUACCCGAGUAGUC
rnacentral:rRNA from 1 species